UCAGGCACGUACUGCUGUACCUAGGCCAGUGGCACUUUUUAGUGGGAUUUCAGAUUUCAAAGAUUUUAUUUUCAGACGAUUUCAAGGAAUAUUACGAACAAUUUGCAUAUACCGUAGGAGGUCCCGUGGUUCAAAAGCUGUGGGGGCAGGACCUCUUGUCAGAGUGUAAAAGGAAAAUAAAAUCGGAGCACUUCAGUCAUAAAACAUUUACAGAUGCCUAAAUAAAAAUGAGAACAUAAGAUUUAACAAUGACACACCAAGACAAGAAAGAAACUAUACAUGAAAUAAAAUGAUUUCGAUUUAAUCUUAAACACUUACAAUAUAUUUAAUGUCUUCAACAUUAAUGUCUAAGGCAUUACAAAAAUGUAUAGAAGAAAGAUUGGUUACCAAAAGUUUACCAUAGUUAGUAUUUAUCUUUGGCUAAAGAAGAUUGUACUUCACAGAAAACCUAGUUCUAGGUAUAUUCAGGACACCUCCAUGAGAAACGAGCAGGACUGUUCCAGUGGCGAAUAGCAACUGUCAUUUUGUGGAGCAGCCAAGACUCCUGUACCAAGUUCGAGAGAGUGGGCGGGAAAUUCCUGAAAAUUAUUCUGAGGUUCAGCAUGUGCACUUUGUUUAUUCCUUCUUCUGGUGCAGAGGUUUGUAUUUAAAUUGUGGAUUUGAAGGUGUGGCUUUCAUGUUAGAAAGAGAAGUUUGUCUGUGGAAUUGUUCACCCGCUUGCUUUGCAUCUGCUGUGGAAAACUUGACAUGGUAGGGAUCAUAGUGUUUCCUCACUUUCCCAAGCUUCGAAGUGUUGUGCGUACUUACAGGAAUUCUGGAACGCAUGAUCUAAUGACAGAUCUUUUCACUUACUGAGUGACUUUGAAACUUUUGGCAGACUGUUUCUGCUUUGACAUUAUUUAGUUCUGCAUGGGCCUUUGAAACUGCGCUGUGUCUAAUGAACUUUGUGCACAGAGUAGCUAUUUUCUUAAUUCUUGUGUUUGAAUGUUUGCAUAUGCAUGAAAUAUAAAUUGUACUUUAGCUUUCUUUUCAUAUAAAAUUAUUUUAGGCUGUGCGCAGCCACCAAUGGCGACUAACAGUAUAUACGAAAAAGUUUAUCCUUGGUUUUUUGUUGUUGUGAGAAUGGCAAUAUUGCAAAGGAUAUAUUUAUAUGUACAUGAACUAGCAGAUUAUUUAAAUGCUAUAUAACUGUUGUUUCACAUUGAUCAGUGGCAAAUUGUGGCACUAAGCCAUCUAGACACAUCACCUGCUUGAGAACUCAAUAGUGAGAACUGUAGCACCCUGACCUUUGAAAGAACCGGCAACAUAUCCUCGUAUUAGCUGUGCUAAAAAAAAAGUCAUUGCAUUCCCACACAUCUGAAUUGAUAAAAUACACCUUUCUUUGCUCGCAUGUUAUGGCAUUCCUUCAUUGUAAUUAGAUCUUUUGUCCGUUAUCGUAGCUUGCUUUGGUGAAAGCUGAAUAUCAGCACGGUAGCAUGGCAAGGAUUCUUGAUGAAAAUUGAGGGGGGAAAAUAGCUGCUGUAGUGUGAAACUCAGUGCUUGCUUUUUAUGCGUUUUUUUUUUUUCGAAGUAUUGUGCCAUGCGAGUUAGAAAACUGUCAUGUCAUGUAGGUGUAUAUACUUAUGUACACAUGCAUUAUUUGUUCACAUAUGUUGGUUGUAUGCUGUUGCUUUGUCUUAGCUCUGUGAAUUGCAUGGUUUGUUUAUGGGUGUGUUUAGUAUGCCUUGAUGUAUUUUCUACAUGUUCAUAGAAGUGCCCCAAGUGAACCUAUUGUUUACUGUACCAGCUGUUCACUUAACUAAAAUUUGUUAUGACUGUCAGAAACUUCAACAGCAAAAGCUAGAUGUUACUGAAAAUGUUCUACUAGGUUCACAAAGAAUGGGCCUGCAAGUUGACAUAGUAGUUGUGAUAGGGUAACAGAAUUUGAUUAGGUUCAACUUUGUUUUCGCACAAACUGAGUUUCUAGGUGGUUGUAGAAUGUGUUAACAUUGUGUGACUGCCCUUAGUGGUGUUGUGAAGUGAGUGGUUGCUUUUGAUUUGAUUUGCACUUAUUCUUCCUAAUCGUGCUUGUCAACAGUUGCCUGUUCUCUGUGUGCAUAUGUGUGACAUGUUUUUGAUGCGUGAAUUUUUAAGAAAGAAAAAUAUCCAGUUUGUUCAA
rnacentral:lncRNA from 1 species